rnacentral:rRNA from 1 species
CACGUAGGGUGCGAGCGUUUGUCCGGAAUUAUUGGGCGUAAAGAGCUCGUAGGCGGUGUGUCGCGUCGGCCGUGAAAACCUGCAGCUUAACUGUGGGCUUGCGGUCGAUACGGGCAUCACUGGAGUUCGGCAGGGGAGACUGGAAUUCCUGGUGUAGCGGGUGAAAUGCGCAGAUAUCAGGAGGAACACCCGGUGGCGAAGGCGGGGUCUCUGGGCCGAUACUGACGUGAGGAGCGAAAAGCGUGGGGGAGCGAACAGG